UCUGAGAUUGUUGUUCUUUCCGAUUCCAGAUCAUGUUUGAGCGGCGGUUACUCAAUAUGCUAAUUUCUUUUCGUGAAAUGGAUAGAGAAAGUAUAAUGAAAAGGCUCAUACAAGCAAGACAGUCAGUAGCACAAGACAAGCAUCCCAGAAACCUUCUGCCACGAUCCACUCAGGACGAUCACAGUUGCCGGUUCAAGGUGUCACCCAACAACGUGCUGCCCUUUGCCUUCCCAUCCUACAGCCCUCCUCAGGGUGACAAGGAGCUGGCUCCUGACGGCCUUGGACUAGUCCCAAUCAAGCCUUCCGAUGUUCAAAUCAAGCACAGCUAUUCCUUCUUCAACUUGCAGAAUGUUGGAGAUCCUUUUUCCCUAAUGUGGCUACAGAC
rnacentral:lncRNA from 1 species